rnacentral:rRNA from 1 species
GAUGAACGCUGGCGGCGUGCCUAAUACAUGCAAGUCGAGCGAACAGAUGAGGAGCUUGCUCCUCUGACGUUAGCGGCGGACGGGUGAGUAACACGUGUAUAACCUACCUAUAAGACUGGGAUAACUUCGGGAAACCGGAUCUAAUACCGGAUAAUAUAUUGAACCGCAUGGUUCAAUAGUGAAAGACGGUUUUGCUGUCACUUAUAGAUGGAUCCGCGCCGCAUUAGCUAGUUGGUAAGGUAACGGCUUACCAAGGCAACGAUGCGUAGCCGACCUGAGAGGGUGAUCGGCCACACUGGAACUGAGACACGGUCCAGACUCCUACGGGAGGCAGCAGUAGGGAAUCUUCCGCAAUGGGCGAAAGCCUGACGGAGCAACGCCGCGUGAGUGAUGAAGGUCUUCGGAUCGUAAAACUCUGUUAUUAGGGAAGAACAAAUGUGUAAGUAACUAUGCACGUCUUGACGGUACCUAAUCAGAAAGCCACGGCUAACUACGUG